rnacentral:rRNA from 1 species
AACGAACGCUGGCGGCAUGCCUAACACAUGCAAGUCGAACGAGACCUUCGGGUCUAGUGGCGCACGGGUGCGUAACGCGUGGGAGCCUGCCCUUAGGUUCGGAAUAACUCCCCGAAAGGGGUGCUAAUACCGGAUAAUGUCUUCGGACCAAAGAUUUAUCGCCUUUGGAUGGGCCCGGGUUGGAUUAGCUAGUUGGUAGGGUAAAAGCCUACCAAGGCGACGAUCCAGAGCUGGUCUGCGAGGAUGAUCAGCCGCACUGGGACUGAGACACGGCCCAGACUCGUAGGGGAGGCAGCAGUGGGGAAUAUUGGACAAUGGGCGAAAGGCUGAUACAGCAAUGCGGCGUGAGUGAGGAAGGCCUUAGGGUUGUAAAGCUCUUUUACCCGGGAUGAUAAUGACAGUACCGGGAGAAUAAGCGCGGGCUAACUCCGUG